AUGGAGGCGCUCCUCCGGUGGGCGGCUGAGCUGGGCGUAUCCGACUCCCCGUCCGCGCCCGCCCCCUCUACAACCUCCUCCUCCUCCUGCCUCGGCCGCUCCCUCGUCGUCGCUGAUUUCCCUGACGCCGGCGGGAGGGGCUUCGCGGCGGCUCGGGACCUCCGGCGCGGCGAGCUGGUGCUGCGCGUGCCCCGCGCUGCCCUGCUCACCAGCGACCGCGUCAUGGCGGACGACCCCAGGAUCGCUUCCUGCGUAGAUGCCCAUCGCCCUCGCCUCUCUAGCAUCCAGAGACUGAUCGUAUGCUUAUUGGCUGAAGUGGGAAAGGGGAAGAGUUCUGGUUGGUACCUCUAUUUGUCUCAGCUGCCUACCUACUACACAAUCUUGGCUACCUUCAACGAUUUUGAAAUUGAAGCUCUCCAAGUUGAUGAUGCUAUUUGGGUUGCACAAAAGGCUGUUUCUGCCAUCAGAUCUGAGUGGGAAGAAGCAACACCGCUAAUGAGAGAAUUGGAUUUCAAACCUAAACUUUUGAUGUUUAAAACGUGGCUCUGGGCCUUCGCAACGGUAUCUUCACGGACAUUGCAUGUAGCAUGGGAUGAUGCUGGUUGCCUAUGUCCGAUAGGUGAUUUAUUUAAUUAUGCUGCUCCUGAUGAUGAUACUUCGUCUGAAGAACAAGAUACGGAAGAAGCCAUGAAAUGCCAGGAGAGAAAUGUUAAUGUUAUGUUGGAAGAGAUAAAGUUGGACAGUCCAUCAGAAAGGUUGACGGAUGGGGGAUAUGAAGAUUCUAAGGCAUACUGUUUGUAUGCCCGAAAAAGAUAUAGGAAAGGGGAGCAGGUACUUCUGGGGUACGGGACAUACACAAACUUGGAACUUCUUGAACACUAUGGUUUUCUUUUGGACGAGAACCCUAAUGAGAAAACUUACAUUCAGUUAGAUUCGGAGUUAUGUACUAUGGGCACAUGGCCAAAAGACUCCCUAUAUAUUCACCCAAAUGGGCAUCCCUCAUUUGCAUUAUUAUGUUCAUUAAGGCUAUGGGCAACUCCUACAAAUCGUCGAAAGUCCUUCAGUCACCAGAUCUACUCUGGAUCAAUGCUUUCUGUCGAAAAUGAGCUGGAGGUUUUGAAACGGUUGGGUAGCAAAUGUGUGGAAACUUUGCAGCAAUUGCCUACGACUGCUGAGUUGGAUGGGAGGCUGAUCCAUUUUUUACGCAACCUACAGAACAGCACUAGUUGGAGAGUAGAUGUGGAGCAGUCAAGUUUCGGACAAGAAUUUGCCUUGUUUCUCCGGUUCCAUAGUGUGGACGUGGAUUGUACCCAGGAUCAGCUCCCAGUUCGACUCCUGCGAUCUCUGGAGAGAUGGGAAUUGGCUGUCCGGUGGAGAUGCAGCUACAAGAUAGCUCUUACCAAGUGUGUUUUGUAUUGUAAACGUUUGAUUAAUGAGCUUUCCUUGCAAUAA
rnacentral:rRNA from 1 species